rnacentral:tRNA from 1 species
GGCUGGAUCACCUCCUAACAGGGAGACAAUAACUGAUUGUGAUGUCUGGCUUAUUUAUUGCUAGACCAUAAUCCUGUCAUCUCGAAGGUCGAUCGGUGCCUCAAUUUGAGGGUAAGAGAAGAGCUGAGUAAUCAGCUUGGAGAUUUAUCCAUCAAUUUCAGUUCCUAAACUUUGUCUAGGUCACCCCACAGAGGGUAAGCCGAGCGCACGAGCAGAGAUGUCCGUGCUGAAUCUGGUAAGCCGCAAGGCGCUCCAGAUCGUGGCAACGACUCCUGGGCCAUUAGCUCAGGUGGUUAGAGCGCACCCCUGAUAAGGGUGAGGUCCCUGGUUCAAGUCCAGGAUGGCCCAUUCACCGCCUGCUGAGCAGGCAGGGCUUGAUGGCUGGGGGUUUAGCUCAGUUGGUAGAGCGCCUGCUUUGCAAGCAGGAUGUCAGCGGUUCGAGUCCGCUAACCUCCAUCCAACAACGUGCUUAGCCUUUAAGCCAGACAUGCCGGUGGCAUGCAAGCCUAGGAGUUAGGCUGUGUUGGUGAUCUUGACGUUUGUUCGCUGAGGAUUUUAGCUUCUUUUCAUGGGCAUUCAUGAGUAUUCAUGAGCAUUCAUGAGCAUGCAUGAAAAGACGCUGAAUUCAAUGACUGCCUCCCACAAGGAGGCAGUUUGUAUUUCAGCAGAACCUUGACAACUGUAUAGGUAAGUCUGGAAAAUAAGCAUCUCAUGGAUGCUUGAUCCAGGGUUCAAGAUAGCUCCAGCGAUGGGGUUGUUUUGGGCACUGAAUCAAGAAAAUUCUAUUGAGUUUUUAGAGCCGAGAGCUUUCAGUUUUCUUGUCUAUCCGCCGAGGGUAGAUGAGUUUGAUCCUGGCAUUCAAACCUCAGCAGUGGCCAUGAGCAAUUAUGGCUGCAGCUGGA